GACGCUACCGGAGCAUCCCCCACAGGUAUUGUAUUUUCCCAAAUAGGGUACGGAUCCCCACGGAGAGCGGCGGAGCAUCCCCGGGGUGAGAAAGGAAGACACGGACAGAGCAUCCCCCGGGGCAGCAAGCACCGAGAGCGGCCGAGCACCGCCCCAGAGCGAGGGACACGGAACCGGGAGCACCACGGGGACCCAUGGAGCAUCCACCCGGGUCAGCGGUGAAGAGGGUGCCGGGAUCGGGCGGGAGGAGCACGGACACCCACCGGAUCAUCCCCCACAGGGUAGGAAUCCCCACAGAGCAGCGAGAGCGUCGGAGCAUCCCCGGGGUGCGAAGGGAGGACACCGACAGAGAAUCCCUUGGGUCAACGAGCGCCGAGAGCGACCGAGCAUCCCCGUGGUGAGGACGACGGUGCCAGGAGCAGCACGGAGAGUGAGAUAGCAUCCCCCGGAGGGUAGGGAUCCCCACGGAGAGCGGCGGAGCAUCCCCGGGGUGAGAAAGGAAGACACGGACAGAGCAUCCCCCGGGGCAGCAAGCACCGAGAGCGGCCGAGCACCGCCCCAGAGCGAGGGACACGGAACCGGGAGCACCACGGGGACCCAUGGAGCAUCCACCCGGGUCAGCGGUGAAGAGGGUGCCGGGAUCGGGCGGGAGGAGCACGGACACCCACCGGAUCAUCCCCCACAGGUAAGGGAUAUUCUCAAAUAGGGUAGGAAUCUACAGGGAGCACCGAGAGUGGCGGAUCAUCCCCGGGUGAAAAGGGAAGACUCGGGCAGAGCAUCCCCCGGGGCAGGGGUGAAGACGGUGGCGGGAUCGGGCGGAAGCUCUGCAGACACUACCGGAGCAUCCCCCAGAGGUAAUGUGUUUUCCCAAAUAGGGUAGGAAUCCCCACGGAGCAGCGAGAGCUGCGGAGCAUCCCGGGGUGCGAAGGGAGGACACCGACAGAGAAUCCCUUGGGUCAACGAGCGCCGAGAGCGACCGAGCAUCCCCGUGGUGAGGACGACGGUGCCAGGAGCAGCACGGAGAGAGAGAUAGCAUCCCCCGGAGGGUACGGAUCCCCACGGAGAGCGGCGGAGCAUCCCCGGGGUGAGAAAGGAAGACACGGACAGAGCAUCCCCCGGGGCAGCAAGCACCGAGAGCGGCCGAGCACCGCCCCAGAGCGAGGGACACGGAACCGGGAGCACCACGGGGACCCAUGGAGCAUCCACCCGGGUCAGCGGUGAAGAGGGUGCCGGGAUCGGGCGGGAGGAGCACGGACACCCACCGGAUCAUCCCCCACAGGGUAGGAAUCCCCACGGAGCAGCGAGAGCUGCGGAGCAUUCCCGGGGUGCGAAGGGAGGACACCGACAGAGAAUCCCUUGGGUCAACGAGCGCCGAGAGCGACCGAGCAUCCCCGUGGUGAGGACGACGGUGCCAGGAGCAGCACGGAGAGUGAGAUAGCAUCCCCCGGAGGUGAGAAGGGUGGACACCAACAGAGAAUCUCCCAGGGCAGCGGCGAAAACGGUGCCGGGAUCGGGAGGGAGCUCCGCCGACGCUACCGGAGCAUCCCCCACAGGUAUUGUAUUUUCCCAAAUAGGGUACGGAUCCCCACGGAGAGCGGCGGAGCAUCCCCGGGGUGAGAAAGGAAGACACGGACAGAGCAUCCCCCGGGGCAGCAAGCACCGAGAGCGGCCGAGCACCGCCCCAGAGCGAGGGACACGGAACCGGGAGCACCACGGGGACCCAUGGAGCAUCCACCCGGGUCAGCGGUGAAGAGGGUGCCGGGAUCGGGCGGGAGGAGCACGGACACCCACCGGAUCAUCCCCCACAGGGUAGGAAUCCCCACGGAGCAGCGAGAGCUGCGGAGCAUUCCCGGGGUGCGAAGGGAGGACACCGACAGAGAAUCCCUUGGGUCAACGAGCGCCGAGAGCGACCGAGCAUCCCCGUGGUGAGGACGACGGUGCCAGGAGCAGCACGGAGAGUGAGAUAGCAUCCCCCGGAGGUGA